GCUUGGUGGAUCAAUGGCGAACGGGUGAGUAACACGUGAGCAACCUGCCCUGGACUCUGGGAUAAGCGCUGGAAACGGCGUCUAAUACUGGAUAUGAGACGUGAUCGCAUGGUCGUGUUUGGAAAGAUUUUUCGGUCUGGGAUGGGCUCGCGGCCUAUCAGCUUGUUGGUGAGGUAAUGGCUCACCAAGGCGUCGACGGGUAGCCGGCCUGAGAGGGUGACCGGCCACACUGGGACUGAGACACGGCCCAAACUCCUACGGGAGGCAACAGUGGGGAAUAUUGCACAAUGGGCGAAAGCCUGAUGCAGCAACGCCGCGUGAGGGAUGACGGCCUUCGGGUUGUAAACCUCUUUUAGCAGGGAAGAAGCGAAAGUGACGGUACCUGCAGAAAAAGCGCCGGCUAACUACGUGCCAGCAGCCGCGGUAAUACGUAGGGCGCAAGCGUUAUCCGGAAUUAUUGGGCGUAAAGAGCUCGUAGGCGGUUUGUCGCGUCUGCUGUGAAAUCCCGAGGCUCAACCUCGGGCCUGCAGUGGGUACGGGCAGACUAGAGUGCGGUAGGGGAGAUUGGAAUUCCUGGUGUAGCGGUGGAAUGCGCAGAUAUCAGGAGGAACACCGAUGGCGAAGGCAGAUCUCUGGGCCGUAACUGACGCUGAGGAGCGAAAGGGUGGGGAGCAAACAGGCUUAGAUACCCUGGUAGUCCACCCCGUAAACGUUGGGAACUAGUUGUGGGGACCAUUCCACGGUUUCCGUGACGCAGCUAACGCAUUAAGUUCCCCGCCUGGGGAGUACGGCCGCAAGGCUAAAACUCAAAGGAAUUGACGGGGACCCGCACAAGCGGCGGAGCAUGCGGAUUAAUUCGAUGCAACGCGAAGAACCUUACCAAGGCUUGACAUAUACGAGAACGGGCCAGAAAUGGUCAACUCUUUGGACACUCGUAAACAGGUGGUGCAUGGUUGUCGUCAGCUCGUGUCGUGAGAUGUUGGGUUAAGUCCCGCAACGAGCGCAACCCUCGUUCUAUGUUGCCAGCACGUAAUGGUGGGAACUCAUGGGAUACUGCCGGGGUCAACUCGGAGGAAGGUGGGGAUGACGUCAAAUCAUCAUGCCCCUUAUGUCUUGGGCUUCACGCAUGCUACAAUGGCCGGUACAAAGGGCUGCAAUACCGUGAGGUGGAGCGAAUCCCAAAAAGCCGGUCCCAGUUCGGAUUGAGGU
rnacentral:rRNA from 1 species